GGCCAUGGAGGCCGUGCAGGCCAUCUCCAUGUUCAACGGGCAGCUGCUCUUUGACAGACCCAUGCACGUGAAAAUGGACGAACGAGCCUUUCCCAAAGGAGAUUUCUUCCCUCCAGAGAGACCCCAGCAGCUCCCUCGUAAGUGUUCCCUGCCCCAUCCACCCCCUCUGCUCCCAGCCCCAGCAAUUCCCGGGAAAUCUGGGAUCCAGACCCUCCCCGCUCCAGCCAGGGGGGAAUCAUGGACAGGAGGAGUUUUGGAGGCUCCUUUCAGCUCCUGCCCAGAAGCUUCUCUUAGAACGGGAGCCCAGCACCUCCUCCAGGCUUCCAGGUCCAGAUUCCAAGAUCCCAAGGCCUCCCAAAAUUCCUGGUCAGGGUGGGAUUUCAUGGGAACAUCGUCCAGCAGGCACCGGAUGGGAUCUGGAUUCUCCCUGACAAGCUUCCAG